rnacentral:rRNA from 1 species
UAAGGGCGCACGGUGGAUGCCUUGGCACUAGGAGCCGAUGAAGGACGGGACUAACACCGAUAUGCUUUGGGGAGCUGUACGUAAGCUAUGAUCCAGAGAUUUCCGAAUGGGGGAACCCAACAUCUUUAAUAGGAUGUUACGAUUGUGUGAAUACAUAGCACAUUCGAGGUAGACGCAGAGAACUGAAACAUCUAAGUACCUGCAGGAAGAGAAAGAAAAUUCGAUUCCCUGAGUAGCGGCGAGCGAAACGGGAAAAGCCCAAACCAGCAAGCUUGCUUGUUGGGGUUGUAGGACUCCAAUAUGGUAGUUCUUUCAGAUAGUCGAAUGACUUGGAAAAGUCAGUCAAAGAGGGUAAAAACCCCGUAGACGAAAUGUGGAAGACACCUAGGAGGAUCCUGAGUACGGCGGAACACGAGAAAUUCCGUCGGAAUCCGGGAGGACCAUCUCCCAAGGCUAAAUACUCCCUAGUGACCGAUAGUGAACCAGUACCGUGAGGGAAAGGUGAAAAGCACCCCGGAAGGGGAGUGAAAUAGAACCUGAAACCGUGUGCCUACAACAAGUCAAAGCCCGUUAAUGGGUGAUGGCGUGCCUUUUGUAGAAUGAACCGGCGAGUUACGAUUGCAUGCGAGGUUAAGUUGAAGAGACGGAGCCGCAGCGAAAGCGAGUCUGAAUAGGGCGUUUGAGUAUGUAGUCGUAGACCCGAAACCAUGUGAUCUACCCAUGUCCAGGUUGAAGGUGCGGUAAAACGCACUGGAGGACCGAACCCACGUACGUUGAAAAGUGCGGGGAUGAGGUGUGGGUAGCGGAGAAAUUCCAAACGAACUUGGAGAUAGCUGGUUCUCUCCGAAAUAGCUUUAGGGCUAGCCUCGGAAUUGAGA